rnacentral:rRNA from 1 species
AUACGUAGGGUGCAAGCGUUAAUCGGAAUUACUGGGCGUAAAGCGUGCGCAGGCGGUUUUGUAAGACAGAGGUGAAAUCCCCGGGCUCAAACUGGGAACUGCCUUUGUGACUGGAAGGCUAGAGUACGGCAGAGGGGGAUGGAAUUCCGCGUGUAGCGGUGAAAUGCGUAGAUAUGCGGAGGAACACCGAUGGCGAAGGCAAUCCCCUGGGCUUGUACUGACGCUCAUGCACGAAAGCGUGGGGAGCAAACAGGAUUAGAUACCCUGGUAGUCCACGCCCUAAACGAUGCCAACUGGUUGUUGGGUCUUCAUUGACUCAGUAACGAAGCUAACGCGUGAAGUUGACCGCCUGGGGAGUACGGCCGCAAGGUUGAAACUCAAAUGAAUUGACGGGG